rnacentral:rRNA from 1 species
AAACUGAAGAGUUUGAUCCUGGCUCAGAUUGAACGCUGGCGGCAUGCCUAACACAUGCAAGUCGAACGGUAACAGGCCUUCGGGCGCUGACGAGUGGCGGACGGGUGAGUAAUACGUAGGAAUCUGCCUUGUAGUGGGGGACAACAUGGGGAAACUCAUGCUAAUACCGCAUACGCUCUACGGAGGAAAGCGGGGGAUCUUCGGACCUCGUGCUAUAAGAUGAGCCUACGUCGGAUUAGCUUGUUGGUGGGGUAAAGGCCUACCAAGGCGACGAUCCGUAGCUGGUCUGAGAGGAUGAUCAGCCACACUGGGACUGAGACACGGCCCAGACUCCUACGGGAGGCAGCAGUGGGGAA